AUGUUUCUAAUAAAAAAAGGAAAUUCUGGAAGAAAGCCUAAGGACAUUAAUCUAGAAAAAAUCCUAACGAUCCCAUUAAACAAAAGGUCUACCAUUAGGUCACUUGCUUGGCAACUGGGGUGUAGCCCUACCACACUUCAUAGAAAGUUCAUGUUAAACUUGAUAAGGAGGCAUACAAACUGCGUGAAGCCAGCUCUAAAGGACCAGAAUAAGAAGGAUAGGAUGAAAUUUUGUUUGUCGAUGCUUGAUGAGGCAACAACAGCAACACCAAGGCCUAAGUUCAAGACUAUGCAUAAUGUUGUCCAUAUUGACGAGAAGUGGUUCAACAUGACCAAGAAGAAUAGAACCUAUUAUCUGCUGGACGGGGAGGAAGAGCCUACAAGGCCUAUACAUGGCAACUGUAUUGGAAAGGUGAUGUUCUUGACGGCCAUUGCUAGGCCGAGGUGGGACAGUGAAGGAAACGUGACCUUCUCUGGGAAAAUCGGUAUCUGGCCAUUCGUGAAAGAAGUUCCUGCUCAAAGGACAAGCGACAACAGGUCCAGAGGUACAAUAGAGACAAAAUCAAUAAAGGUCGACAGAAAAGUGAUGAGGGAGUUCCUGAUAGAGAACGUCUUGCCAGCAAUACAAGCUGUUUGGCCUGAAGGCGAUGCUGGACAAACCAUCUACAUUCAGCAGGAUAAU
rnacentral:rRNA from 1 species